AUACAGUAAGGUGAUGAGGUUCCACCUAUAACUGCCAUUUUUUUUAAAAAAAUCUGGAUGAUGACUUCUACUAUCAA
rnacentral:ncRNA from 2 species